UACGUAGGGCGCAAGCGUUGUCCGGAAUUAUUGGGCGUAAAGAGCUCGUAGGCGGCCUGUUACGUCUGCUGUGAAAUCCCGGGGCUUAACCCCGGGCGUGCAGUGGAUACGGGCAGGCUGGAGGCAGGCAGGGGAGAACGGAAUUCCCGGUGUAGCGGUGAAAUGCGUAGAGAUCGGGAGGAACACCAGUGGCGAAGGCGGCGAGCUGGUCCAUUACUGACGCUGAGGCGCGACAGCGUGGGGAGCAAACAGG
rnacentral:rRNA from 1 species